AUCUGAACUGAUAAAUCUUGCUCUUUUGAUCUGGGAUGUCCUGUUUAGCAUAAGGAGAAAACUCCUAGAACUCCACAUUCUACUUGUACACAGACGAACCUCCUUGCUUAAAGCGCCUGAAUUUCUCAUGCAUCUCUUCUACGGAACUUGCUAGAAUAUAGUGAACCCUGAAACCCAUGCAGAAAUCAUCCCAGUUGAUCAUUCUUUUGCCUCUUAAAAUUCUUCAAUUGAUGCCACCAUUCUGCUGCCUGUCCCUUGAGCUGAAAUGUUGCAAACUUGACAAAGUCCUCUGGUCGCACAUUACUGCACUCGAAGUGCUUGUUCAUGUCAUGAAUCCAGUCAUCUGCAUUGAACGGUUGGUCACAGGAAGUGAAGGACUUCGGUUGGUUCGCCAGGAUUUGAUUGAGAGUUGCAAAUUGCUGUCCACCAUUGUUGAAAUUACCCUGGUGCCGUUGGUUCCUCCCUUGAAACAACUGGAGCAAAAUUUGAGUGUUUGCAUUGGUUGCCGCCUG
rnacentral:lncRNA from 1 species